rnacentral:sRNA from 1 species
UCAAACAGAGGAUGCUGUGGAACCGGAUUAGUCGAAGUACU